rnacentral:rRNA from 1 species
GACGUAGGGCGCGAGCGUUGUCCGGAAUUAUUGGGCGUAAAGAGCUCGUAGGCGGUUUGUCGCGUCUGGUGUGAAAACUCGAGGCUCAACCUCGAGCUUGCAUCGGGUACGGGCAGACUAGAGUGCGGUAGGGGAGACUGGAAUUCCUGGUGUAGCGGUGGAAUGCGCAGAUAGUCAGGAGGAACACCCGAUGGCGAAGGCAGGUCUCUGGGC